rnacentral:misc_RNA from 1 species
GUAAUGUGUGUAGCUAACUGAUACUAAUAGCUCGAUUGAUUUACUUUGCUGUGAGAUUACAUAUGCAUAUAGUGUUAAUUCUAUAAAAAUGUAGUAUCAACUCACAAAGUUAUCAGGUUAAAUUAGCUUUACCAAUGAAUAAAAAUGUUGUUGCACAGCUAAUAAUGUUAUACCGUGGUCCCGCCACGGUAUCUAGAAAAAUUUUUAAUAUUUAGAUUCUUGCUUCCGCAGGAAUGAUAAAUUUAGUCAUGCAACAACAUUAACAGCAAACUAUAAUACAAAUCUAUC